rnacentral:misc_RNA from 1 species
GCAGAAGGAUCAUUAGUGAAGAUUUGGGCAGGCCAUACGGACGCCAAAAAGUGUCCCUGGCCGCCUACACCCACUAUACAUCCACAAACCCGUGUGCACUGUCUUGGAGAAAGGCUUCUUGAGAAGUUUUGUGGCCUCUCUUGGGGUCUUUCUUCGCUACAAACUCGAAUGGUUAGUAUGAACGUGGAACUUGGUUGGACCGUCACUGGCCAACAAACUAUACACAACUUUCGACAACGGAUCUCUUGGUUCUCCCA